rnacentral:rRNA from 1 species
AGUGAACGCUGGCGGUAGGCCUAACACAUGCAAGUCGAACGGCAGCACAGUAAGAGCUUGCUCUUACGGGUGGCGAGUGGCGGACGGGUGAGGAAUACAUCGGACUCUACUUUUUCGUGGGGGAUAACGUAGGGAAACUUACGCUAAUACCGCAUACGACCUACGGGUGAAAGCAGGGGAUCUUCGGACCUUGCGCGAUUGAAUGAGCCGAUGUCGGAUUAGCUAGUUGGCGGGGUAAAGGCCCACCAAGGCGACGAUCCGUAGCUGGUCUGAGAGGAUGAUCAGCCACACGGGAACUGAGACACGGUCCAGACUCCUACGGGAGGCAGCAGUGGGGAAUAUUGGACAAUGGGCGCAAGCCUGAUCCAGCCAUACCGCGUGGGUGAAGAAGGCCUUCGGGUUGUAAAGCCCUUUUGUUGGGAAAGAAAAGCAGCAGGUUAAUACCCCGCUGUUCUGACGGUACCCAAAGAAUAAGCACCGGCUAACUUCGUG